CGGAGGAGGAAGCUGAGGAGGUCAAGGUGACUGCUUAGAAAACUACACGCCCACCAACAUCUGUUGAAAUUGGUGAAUAAACCAGACAUGUCUUACACUCCGGGAAUCGGUGGCGAUCCUGCCCAGCUGGCCCAGCGUAUCUCUUCCAACAUCCAAAAGAUCACACAGUGUUCUGUGGAAAUACAAAGAGCUCUGAACCAACUUGGAACACCUCAAGAUACACCCUAAUUGAGGCAACAGCUGCAACAGAAGCAGCGGUAUACUAACCAACUUGCCAAAGAAACAGAUAAAUACGUUAAAGAGUUUGGAUCUCUGCCCACCACGCCCAGUGAACAGCGUCAAAGGAAAAUACAAAAAGAUCGCCUAGUGGCUGAAUUCACAACAUCACUGACAAACUUCCAAAAGGUCCAGAGGCAAGCUGCUGAGAGAGAGAAAGAGUUUGUUGCUCGAGUAAGAGCCAGUUCCAGAGUAUCUGGUGGUUUUCCUGAAGAGAGCUCAAAAGAAAGGAAUCUUGUAUCCUGGGAAAGCCAAACUCAACCUCAAGUGCAGCUGCAGGAUGAAGAAAUCACAGAAGAUGACCUUCACCUUAUUCAUGAGAGAGAGUCUUCCAUCAGGCAACUUGAAGCUGAUAUUAUGGAUAUUAAUGAAAUAUUUAAAGAUUUGGGAAUGAUGAUACAUGAACAAGGAGAUGUGAUAGACAGCAUAGAAGCCAAUGUAGAAAGUGCAGAGGUACAAGUUCAGCAAGCCAACCAGCAGCUAUCACGGGCAGCAGAAUAUCAGCGCAAAUCCAGAAAAACCCUGUGCAUCAUCCUCAUUAUCGCUGUCAUUGGAGUUCUGGUUAUUGGUCUCAUCAUAUGGGGAUUGCAUAGCUAAAUUUAUCAAGAAGCACACUAUUGCGCUACAUUACCUAAAUUAUGUGGGAAGAUUCCUGUAAUUAUGGGUUUUUUAAUUAUUAUUUUAAAGCUAUUGUGAAAAGGAUGGUUCCCAUACUUUCUUAUUUUCACAAGGGGGUUCCUUUGGAUUAAAUCUGAUAUUUUCUAAUAAUGAAA